rnacentral:lncRNA from 1 species
ACACUCUUGAUCAAGACAGUGUGAAGCAAAACCAAUUUAUGGUGCCAACAAGAGCUUCAUCAAAGGAGCUCAACCACAAUUCUCAAAAGCUUCACACACUCUUGAUCAAGACAGUGUGAAGCAAAAACCAAUUUAUGGUGCCAACAAAAGCUUCAUCAAUGGAAGGCAACUACAAUUCUCAGACCUUCGAAGCAAAUUCAAUUUAUAUGGUUCAUCCAAACCUUCGACUACUAC